rnacentral:rRNA from 1 species
GACGAACGCUGGCGGCGUGCUUAACACAUGCAAGUCGAACGGAAAGGCCCUGCUUUUGUGGGGUGCUCGAGUGGCGAACGGGUGAGUAACACGUGAGUAACCUGCCCUUGACUUUGGGAUAACUUCAGGAAACUGGGGCUAAUACCGGAUAGGAGCUCCUGCUGCAUGGUGGGGGUUGGAAAGUUUCGGCUGUUGGGGAUGGACUCGCGGCUUAUCAGCUUGUUGGUGGGGUAGUGGCUUACCAAGGCUUUGACGGGUAGCCGGCCUGAGAGGGUGACCGGCCACAUUGGGACUGAGAUACGGCGCAGAAGCCUACGGGAGGCAGCAGUGGGGAAUAUUGCACAAUGGGCGGAAGCCUGAUGCAGCAACGCCGCGUGCAGGAUGACGGCCUUCGGGUUGUAAACCGCUUUCGCCUGUGACGAAGCGUGAGUGACGGUAAUGGGUAAAGAAGCACCGGCUAACUACGUG